rnacentral:rRNA from 1 species
UACGUAGGGGGCAAGCGUUGUCCGGAUUUAUUGGGCGUAAAGAGCGUGUAGGCGGCUUUACAGGUCCGUUGUGAAAACUCGAGGCUCAACCUCGAGACGCCGGUGGAAACCGUAAGGCUAGAGUCCGGAAGAGGAGAGUGGAAUUCCUGGUGUAGCGGUGAAAUGCGCAGAUAUCAGGAAGAACACCAAUAGCGAAGGCAGCUCGCUGGGACGGUACUGACGCUAAGGCGCGAAAGCGUGGGGAGCGAACAGG